GUCGUAACAAGGUUUCCGUAGGUGAACCUGCGGAAGGACCAUUACGGUGCAUCCGACCCACACGUGAACUGUUGAAAGGUGACAUGGUGUUUGGUUUCACGAUCAAGACCGGUCACCGCCCCUUCUUCCACACACACGAACAAUCGAGCUGAAGCGAUGGGGUAGCGGGCUUUUACAGACCGCUGCCUUUAACCGUGACAACUCUCAACAACGGAUGUCUUGGCUCUCGCAACGAUGAAGAACGCAGCGAAAUGCGAUACGUAGUGUGAUUUGCACUGUACGUGAACCAUCGAAUCUUUGAACGCAUAUUGCACUCGAGGCUUCGGCCAAGAGUAUGCCUGCCUGAGCGUCUGUGUGUACCCUCAUACCAAUUAAUUUUGGGAUGGAAAUGGACGUCCGAUCGGAGCCUGCGAAGGUUUCGAUGGGUCGGCCGAAAGGCAGUCGCGGUGCGACCGAUCGCACGAUCAGCGUGGUAGACCUAUUCAUAGGACGGAUCGCUCGGUCAGAUCGGUAACACUUCGAUCCGAAUACUGGUGCGUGUCUCGACUCCGCGGGCCCUCGCGGCUGGUGGAAUAAGAGCCGUGCCAUCUCACCUUUUGACCUCAGUUCAGACAAGGCUACCCGCCGAAUUUAAGCAUAUUACUAAGCGGAGGAAAAGAAAAUAACAAUGAUUCCCCUAGUAACGGCGAGCGAACCGGGAAGAGCCCAACUUGAAAAUCUGGAGGCUUGUCCUUCCGAAUUGUAGUCUAGAGAAGUGCCAUCUGCGGCUGGCUGGUCGAAAGUUCCCUGGAAAGGGACGUCAGAGAGGGUGAGAGCCCCGUCACGAUCGGUUAAGUCGCUCCACGAUGCGCUUUCGAGGAGUCGGGUUGUUUGGGAAUGCAGCCCUAAGCGGGAGGUAAAUUCCUUCUAAGGCUAAAUAUUGGCGAGAGACCGAUAGCGAACAAGUACCGCGAGGGAAAGAUGAAAAGACCUUUGAAAAGAGAGUUAAAAAGUACCUGAAAUUGUUGAGGGGGAAGCGAUUGAAACCAGUUUCUUAUUGUAAGAUUGCCGUUGGACGAAGGCCUCAUCCGUACCGUAAGGGCGGUAAUAAGCUGGAAUUCCUGCGGUGUCUCUUGCAGUUUGAAGUCAACGUAGCUUGAGUGUUUCGGGAGUACCGCUGCAAAGCCGUUCGAUCGCUGUUGUGAUCAAUGACUUGUGGUUGGGACCGUCACCUCGAGUUAGGAAUGCGAGCUGAUUCUAUGUGGGCAUAAUUGUGGGGACCGAGUGCUGGACUUCUAAAGUGCUGUGUUCGUAACUGCAAUGAGUCUUUAUGUUCAGCCCUAGGACGUUGACGAAAUGGUUUUUUUCUACCCGUCUUGAAACACGGACCAAGGAGUCGUCCUCCACUGCGAGUAUGUGGGUGGCAAACCUAUAUGCGUAAUGAAAGUAACAGAUUGGAUAUUUGCACAAUCGACCGACUUUGAUCUUCGGAGAGAGGCUUGAGUAUGAGCAAUGUAGGACGGACCCGAAAGAUGGUGAACUAUGCGUGA
rnacentral:rRNA from 1 species